UUGGCAGGCGGGUGGGUAGGAGCGUGCGGUGGGAUUGGCCAACCCUAUCCACCAAUCCCCCGUCCGCCUCGAGCCCCGCAUCCCUCCUUCCCUGCGCGCUCGGCCGGCUCCGGCAGCAGCCGCCUCCUCUCUUCUUCACCUCCGGCGGCUAGCGCGGUGUAGGGAGCGUCGAGCGCCACCGCGCAUAUGGCAGCGGCGACAGCCAGGAUGCUGGCCCUCGGCCAGGAACGCUGCGGGCAUGGCUUCUCCUCUCCUCCCGAUUCGCCUCCUCUUCUUCGUGCGCGGCGAACGCGACAGCCAUGGCCGCUCCUCCCGAUUUGCCUCCUCUUCUUCGUGUGCGGCGGCCGCUGCAGCUCCUCGCGCCGCCCUCCAUCCACCCUGCCUCUCUUGUUUUCCUCCUCUCUCAGAUCAGGCGCCGUUGCUCGCCGUGGUUCCAGAUCGGGGCGGAGUUCGCCGCCAUUGAGGAGCAGGGGAGGGCGAGGCCCGGGGCUCCACCGCAGCGCGCGCUACACUGGUGCCAGGCUGCAUCUUCUCCUACCCACGUAAACAGCGAGCAGAGGCGUAAUCACGCAGGUGCUAGGUUGCAGGCGAUGAUGAGCUCCUGAUGGUCUACACGGUCCCGCUUUGCCAUGGAGGCUAAGCAAACCUUGCCUCUAGCUAAUUGGUCUUUGAAACUGGAAAGCUGUUCAUAUAUAAGAUUCCUAGGUCUAUUAUUUUCGACAACUCCUUGGUCUAGCUCGCCGGAGUCCUCCCCUCAAUCUCUGCUCUCCUCUCUCUGGCGCACACCGAAGAAGAAAGGAAGAAGAAGAAGAUACAGUGGAGACACAGGACACGGUGGAUUUCCGGCGCACAUACGCCUGCCGCACGAACGGCAAUUUUCUUGAGCACGAACUCGACUCCAUGGCGAUUACAAUGAUCAACAUAGGGCUUUUAUAGCCGGCUGGACACAGGUUGCUGCUGCAAGGUGCAGCAGCAGGGGAGAGGAAGGAGGUCUGUGAUAGGGGGAAAGUGCAGGCUGGCCCUUGUUCAUAGGUUAGCCAUUGGAUCUGGAUACUCAUGUUAAAAUUGCAAGUUUCCACAUGUAGAUUUUAUUGUUUGAAGGCAAAGAAAAUUGCAGCAUGAGCAUAAAGACAAUUUAGCCGGGGGUACCCAAACUGAGAGGGAGGUUAGCAGCAAAUGAAAGACCGCAACUUAGGCUUCCAUGUCUCCCUACUGUUCAGUUUAGACCUCCGAAGGUCGAAGGCCAUGGAACACUAAAUAACCUGGCAACGGAUACCCUGUGGUCUACCAUUACAAUUAUCUGUGCAUUUUGGAUCUAUUGGAUGUCUGAAUGUAAUGCUAAUCGACAUUUACUGAUGCAAAGAUUUUGCAGGGAUGUAGAUAUAUAUUGUGAUGUUUCACUACGAUCUUCAAGUGUUUCAGUUUGUAUUUAGCAGGAUCACAUGUUGACCAAUGACUCUUUGUUUUCUCACUGAUCCAGUAUACUCAAGAACUUGAAUAUUGUGUUUGCUGUGAGUUAUUGACAGUUCCUUGAUUUUUGCAACUCAGGAGUGAAGAUGGCCUUCCUUUGGUAGGCGUAGUGAAUGAAUUUUCUUCUAAUUCAGGCCAUGGUUGAUACCGCUCGGCGUCUGGAUCUGCCAUGGAGUGGCUACCAUGGGCCAACCAGAGCUGGGUGCCCCUGUUUCCGACCUCGAGGCGAUUAGAUUAGAGUCUGAUUAAUUAUGUAUCAUUCGGUCCUUCCUUUGGCUAUUAAUCUAUUGUGGUCUACUUUUCAAGCUCAUACAACAGGUUUAUAUUGAAUUAAAUUUUGUAUAGAUAGCUGUAGCGAUUCUAGCGGAACAUCUUCAAGCUUAAGUUGCUGAACUGAUAUAGCUUGUUGUGUAAUGCAUCUUGAUACCAUACAUGUAAACUAGUUUAGGAAAUUGUGUUGUUCUGAGAUAAUUUCUUAUUUGAAAACAUUACCAACAUAGGCAUGUUACCUUCACACAGGGAAAAAGUUAUUUUGUGACCUAAAGAUAUGAUUUAUGGGCCUACCUCAAUAUCUCAGGAGUUGUCCUUUCCUUGUUAACCCUGUACACUUCACAAGGCCCAUCUGUUCAAGGUAGAGAUAAUGAAAGAACAUCAGAAGGACUGAGCAACAGGAGGAACUUCAUCGACCCAGCCAUGAGCAUAUGAUGCUCUGGCGAGUCGAUGAGGACCGUCAUGGAGAUCUGCCCGCGGGGCCUGACCAAGGAACCAAUGCUGAGGCCGUUAGACGAGGACGUGCUCUAGAACCUGCAGUUUGCAGCCCUGGUGUAGGAUGACUGGAACUGCGAGGAGUCCCCGCUCUCAUCGUCACAGAUCCGUGCACAAUCCGCAGAGUACUAACCUCUAGCAUGGUUGAGAAAAAAUAUUGGCAAGCAUUACCAUUAUGAUCCUCCAUCGAUCAUCAGUGUUGAAGGAAUUUCUGUUUCUCUUCAUAUAGGAUACAGAUAUGUGAUUCUCAUGUGCUCCUUUUGCUGGAAACUUGCUAAUCUUAGGGGUGCUGCUACAGGUGUAAAAACCGUUUUAUCAAAAGAACUAAAGUAGUAGCUAAUCCAAGUAUUGAAGAAUUGACGCAUAAAGUUACGGUAUGUUGGCAUGAAGUCAGAGCAGCGCCUGAAGACUACACAAGAUAGUUUCUGGUGACCUUCAGUCUAUAUGUCCUAACCAACAGCAACCACCUUUUGUUUCGUAUCAAUAGAUCCAGUAUCUUUGCCCUUUUGGCGUUGCUCUGAGCAAGAUAUGUAUAGCCUUUAGAUUUUCAUUCAUGUAUGAUACUGCAUGUACACUUUAGACCUCAUUACUGUCUCUGUGGUCAAAAGAAGUUUGUGAUCAAUUGUUCUAUAUAUGUAAUCAACAGCCCUUCUACUAAUAUUUUCAUAAGACUAUUUAUAUAUGUUUACACUGGUUAGAGAAAAUCAUGACAUUGCCAGCUGCAAUUUAAUAUUUCCAUAUGUUUCAGUCUGUCUCUAAAUAUGUUUAUAGAUAUGUUUAUGUGUACUCUUUCAAUACUUGGCUUGCUCUUGCCCUUUGCGCCAUUGGCGCAACGGGUCAUCUAGUUAGAUGAAAUGUGUCUUGGUAGGUGGUACCUUGAUUUGGUAGAUAACUUAUUACAGAUCUUAGGAUUAUACCUUUGGUAGGGGUCAAAUAGUUUUUUCGGCAAUAGGUGCCACUGAAAUGCUUUCGUAGGUGAUACCUUGUCAUCUUGUAUGUUACUAGAUCUUAGGAUUAUAAUUGUCCAUCAAAUUGCUUCUCGCGGAAGAAUCUCAUCAUCAAAUUGAGAGCUUGUUGUUUACUUUUUGGGAUCGGGUUCCACUAUGAAAAUAUAACUGAAGAAGAACCAAAAAUAUCACAUGCUACUGUUUUUUUCUUUCCUGUGAAGUGGAUCGUUAAUGCUUUGCUCAUAUUGCUUUAGGAAAAUGGCGCCACCACCACCACCACCAUGUCGACUGUGCAAGUCAAGGUGCGCCAGCAGCCUUGCAACUGGCAAGCUGUUC